rnacentral:rRNA from 1 species
ACGAACGCUGGCGGCGUGCUUAACACAUGCGAGUCGAACGGAAAGGCCCUGCUUUUGUGGGGUGCUCGAGUGGCGAACGGGUGAGUAACACGUGAGUAACCUGCCCUUGACUUUGGGAUAACUUCAGGAAACUGGGGCUAAUACCGGAUAGGAGCUCCUGCUGCAUGGUGGGGGUUGGAAAGUUUCGGCGGUUGGGGAUGGACUCGCGGCUUAUCAGCUUGUUGGUGGGGUAGUGGCUUACCAAGGCUUUGACGGGUAGCCGGCCUGAGAGGGUGACCGGCCACAUUGGGACUGAGAUACGGCCCAGACUCAUACGGGAGGCAGCAGUGGGGAAUAUUGCACAAUGGGCGGAAGCCUGAUGCAGCAACGCCGCGUGCGGGAUGACGGCCUUCGGGUUGUAAACCGCUUUCGCCUGUGACGAAGCGUGAGUGACGGUAAUGGGUAAAGAAGCACCGGCUAACUACGUG